UACGUAGGGUCCGAGCGUUGUCCGGAAUUACUGGGCGUAAAGAGCUCGUAGGUGGUUUGUCGCGUUGUUCGUGAAAACUCACAGCUCAACUGUGGGCGUGCGGGCGAUACGGGGCAGACUAGAGUACUGCAGGGGGAGACUGGAAUUCCUGGUGUAGCGGUGGAAUGCGCAGAUAUCAGGAGGAACACCGGUGGCGAAGGCGGGUCUCUGGGGCAGUAACUGACGCUGAGGAGCGAAAAGCGUGGGGGAGCGAAACAGG
rnacentral:rRNA from 1 species